rnacentral:rRNA from 1 species
AACGAACGCUGGCGGCGUGCCUAACACAUGCAAGUCGUGCGAGAAAGUUCCUUCGGGAGCGAGUAAAGCGGCGCACGGGUGAGUAACACGUAGGUAACCUGCCCCCCAGCCUGGAACAACUAGAGGAAACUCUAGCUAAUGCCGGAUGAGACCACGAUCCCUUCGGGGGUUGCGGCCAAAGAUGGCCUCUACUUGUAAGCUAUCGCCGAGGGAUGGGCCUGCGGGCCAUUAGCUUGUUGGUGAGGUAACGGCUCACCAAGGCUGUGAUGGCUAGCUGGUCUGAGAGGAUGACCAGCCACACUGGGACUGAGACACGGCCCAGACUCCUACGGGGAGGCAGCAGUGGGGAAUAUUGCGCAAUGGGCGAAAGCCUGACGCAGCGACGCCGCGUGGGUGAUGAAGGCCUGGUCGUAA